AGCUUUGCACAGUGGUAGUUUUGUAGCCAGUGAGGUUUCUCCAAGGUGCAAUUAUUGCUAAUUAAAGUAUAUAGGAGGAGCUGGGCAUGGUAGUGCAUACCUGUAAUUCCAGGACUGGG
rnacentral:snRNA from 1 species